rfam:Triticum aestivum genome assembly, contig: Triticum_aestivum_CS42_TGACv1_scaffold_392607_5AS
AGACAACUUCUUCCGUCUCAAAAUUCUUGUGCUGGAUUUGUCUAGAUAUGGAUGUAUCUAAAACAUGGCUAGAUACAUCCGUAUCUAGACAAAUCUAAGACAAGAAUUUUGAGACGGAGGUAAUACCAU